GGAGAGGUGACCGAGCGGCCGAAGGUGCUCGCCUGGAAAGCGUGUAGGGGGUUCACGCUCCCUCGAGGGUUCGAAUCCCUCCCUCUCCGCCA
rnacentral:tRNA from 1 species